rnacentral:lncRNA from 1 species
GCCAUUGUAUUUGGCUGAAACGAAGUCGUUUUUUGUUUCCUUUAUAAGGCUAAGAAUGGCCUUCAUCCAGCCAGCCCACAACCGAACCCUAGCCCCCUCUUUUUUGUUUCUCAGUCGGAUCCUAAAGGUCUCUCUAAGCACCAGCGUCGAUCUGCCUUCGCAAAAGAAGACCGGCGGACUCUAGCCCUUGGCGAUAAUCUCCGGCCUUGAGACCCCUCCUUAAACUUCACAUCCGACAAAGCGAAGAGGGAUCUAUGGCAGAUCCAUGAGGUAAGAUUUCUCCUUUCUUUUUUUAUUUUAACACGAUAAUGGACGAUAAAAAAAAGAGUUAUUUGAGAGAAAUCCUAAAGCGACUAUUAAACAGAAAAUCACUUCCAAAAAAGAAUUGCUUUUUGAUAAUGCUUUGUAUUGCUUCUGCUUUUAUGCGUUUGUAUUUCGAAAUGUAUCUACUGUGCGCGUAACCCAUUACAAGUGAUUCUCUUUAGGCUUUAUAGACGAGAGAAGAAGAGAAAAGAAAAAAAAACAAAAAUAAAAUAUACAAUUUUUUUGUCUGUUGUUUUCUUACACGUAUUUGCUGUUGUGGUUUGUCCCUUUCUUCGCAGGUACAGGCGUGCGCUGGCGUGUGUAUGGGAGCCGAGCUAGCGUACGGAGGCUUGGCGUGGUCGCUGGAAGCGUUGUACGGCGUUUGGAGUCUGCAGGGGUUGCGGCGCAAAGGAGGGAGGGGUGACCUAGAGUUGUUGGAGCCUUUUGGGCCAUUUGGGCCUCGUAACAUUGGAUAAAUGGGAUAGGGUAUUAGUGUUGGGUUUUAAUUGACUAGUGGGUUGUUUGGGUCUUUGGGCUUGUAAUAGGACAUUAAUUAAUGGAUUGUGGUUUUUAUUUAUUUUAUUUUGUUUUUUGGGUUUCCAAUGGGCUGGGCAAAUUGGCCUGCUUACACGGUGUAUAGACUGAAAAAGUAUGAAAAUAUACCUUUGAAUAAAC